rnacentral:misc_RNA from 1 species
GAUGAAGAACGCAGCGAAAUGCGAUAAGUAGUGUGAAUUGCAGAAUUCCGUGAAUCAUCGAAUCUUUGAACGCACAUUGCGCCCGCCAGUAUUCUGGCGGGCAUGCCUGUCUGAGCGUCAUUUCAACCCUCAUGCCCCUAGGGCGUGGUGUUGGGGAUCGGCCAAAGCCCGCGAGGGACGGCCGGCCCCUAAAUCUAGUGGCGGACCCGUCGUGGCCUCCUCUGCGAAGUAGUGAUAUUCCGCAUCGGAGAGCGAUGAGCCCCUGCCGUUAAACCCCCAACUUUCCAAGGUUGACCUCAGAUCAGGUAGGAAUACCCGCUGAACUUAAGCAUAUCAAUAAGCGGAGGA